CAACGAUAGAUCUCGCAUGUGGUUGCCAUUACCCGACCCGAACAGCUGGUGACUGUUACACUAAAUUAACACCUUGUGUCAAACGGCAGCUAAUUCCGGGCGAUAAGAUAAGGUCAUCGGAGGCCAUUAACAGCGGAGUUAUCAUUACAAUACCAUUAUGAUCGCCGCGGAUCUAUAGUGCUUCAGAUAGCGGUGGCACUCAAAGAUGAGCCGACAGGAAGACUCCAUUCAAGCGAACAUGCUUUAUAAAUACACCAUAUAUGUACAUACAUAUUGCUGAUCCUGCAGAGCGUGAUACGAUUAUACGUAUACGAUAAUAUUGUAUCGGAGUGAGCUCCCAUUUUGGGUUUUUAGCUCCGUCAUCAUGGCUAUAUCAAAUUUUUGUGCCCAUCAGGGCCGUUAUAUUGGGUCGGUUUCCCAGUCUACAAGCUGCAAACCCAAAAAAACCGCAGACCAGACAGCGCCGCCAAAACACUAUUGCCCUCUAAUGCAAUUAGUUAACGUCAAAAGAAGAGCAUUAUUAUGUGGCCUGGCCAACGGACUUGAUGAACUGCACCCACCAUGGCUAUCAUCGGAUUCGCCGUCAAAGUUCCACGUCUCGUCCGCAUCGAAAUGGGCAUCUCCGCCACGCCCCUCGCCGGGAUAGAAGGCGUGGGCCAGCACCUGACCAGGUCCAUCGAAUUUAUAGCCAUCUCCGUGCGCGCGCCUGCAAAGUGAAGAGAAAAGGACCAGCGUAGAUGUCCUGGAUUAGUUCGGUGUUCCAGUGGAAUUACGAGCAUGGCCAAGGGGGAAAUCAUAUUCACAGCUUAUCUAAGAACAAGCAGCUGCCACAUAAACUCUUUGAUUCAGACACGGCAGCCAUGGCCAUCGACUUUGUCAUCGGUGGCAUUUCAUCAUCGACGUCGUUGGAUGGCCAUGGAUUUAAUACUUGGCUUAUUUAUCGUUCGCCUGCUUUUAAGUGCAAUUUUAUGUGCGUUUGUUUAUGGCACUAAAGACUCGCUUUUUUAUGAUCUUCCCCACCACCUACCACCAGUGCUCGUAUCCAUGCAUCCCCAAUCGCCCGAUUCGCAAUCCCCAUAGAUUUCGGAGUACUUACCGCGCAAAGAGUAUCUGAAUGUCGGCCUGGUCGCUGUAGACCUCGCGGAAUGUCAGCUUCGAGUGGUUCGCCCAAACGUCCAGGGCGGUCUGCACCAUUCUCUCGACUUUGGAGGCAUCGGGCAUCGACCUGUUGACCAUGCUGCAAGGAAAGACGAAGGAAGAAACAUGAUAUCAGCAUGCUAAGAUAUUCCACUUUGUAAGGGUUUCAUCCUUUGCAUAAUACACACAAAGAGAAUAAAGUGAUAUGGUAUAU
ensembl:ncRNA asRNA:CR44069 antisense RNA:CR44069